rnacentral:rRNA from 1 species
AGGCAGCAGUAGGGAAUCUUCCGCAAUGGACGGAAGUCUGACGGAGCGACGCCGCUUGGAGGAGGAAGCCCUUCGGGGUGUAAACUCCUGAACUGGGGACGAAAGCCCUGUGUAGGGGGAUGACGGUACCCAGGUAAUAGCGCCGGCCAACUCCGUGCCAGCAGCCGCGGUAAUACGGAGGGCGCGAGCGUUACCCGGAUUUACUGGGCGUAAAGGGCGUGUAGGCGGCCUGGGGCGUCCCAUGUGAAAGGCCACGGCUCAACCGUGGAGGAGCGUGGGAUACGCUCAGGCUAGAGGGUGGGAGAGGGUGGUGGAAUUCCCGGAGUAGCGGUGAAAUGCGCAGAUAUCGGGAGGGACGCCGAUGGCGAAGGCAGCCACCUGGUCCACUUCUGACGCUGAGGCGCGAAAGCGUGGGGAGCAAACCGGAUUAGAUACCCGAGUAGUCC